AUUUAGUUAUAAAAUAAAAAUAUAAUAUGUAUGUAAUAAUAAUUUUAUUUUAAUAUUGGUAAUGGUUACUGUAAUUAUUAGUCGUGGCAGUGAUUACUGUAAUUGGUAGUCGAGUGGUAGUGGCGACUAAAUGGUGGUGAUGGUAGCAAUGUGAAGUAGUAGUGAUAGAUGUGACAAUAACUAAGUGGUGAUAACAGUGAUCAAGUGAUGAUUAUAGUUAUGGUGAUAACAGAAUGGUGGUGAUGGUGACGGUAGUGUUGUGGUGGUGGUGAUAAUAAUGAUAGAGUAGGAAUAGUGGAGAUAAUAGUAGCAGUGGUGGUGUAACAUUCCUAAUUUCCAAAUAAUUAUUUUAUAUAUAAAUA
rnacentral:misc_RNA from 1 species